rnacentral:rRNA from 1 species
AGGGAAUCUUCCACAAUGGACGCAAGUCUGAUGGAGCAACGCCGCGUGAGUGAAGAAGGUUUUCGGAUCGUAAAGCUCUGUUAUUGGUGAAGAAAGAUAGAGGUAGUAACUGGCCUUUAUUUGACGGUAAUCAACCAGAAAGUCACGGCUAACUACGUGCCAGCAGCCGCGGUAAUACGUAGGUGGCAAGCGUUGUCCGGAUUUAUUGGGCGUAAAGCGAGUGCAGGCGGUUCAAUAAGUCUAAUGUGAAAGCCUUCGGCUUAACCGGAGAAUUGCAUCGGAAACUGUUGAACUUGAGUGCAGAAGAGGAGAGUGGAACUCCAUGUGUAGCGGUGGAAUGCGUAGAUAUAUGGAAGAACACCAGUGGCGAAGGCGGCUCUCUGGUCUGUAACUGACGCUGAGGCUCGAAAGCAUGGGUAGCGAACA